rnacentral:rRNA from 1 species
UACGUAGGGGGCAAGCGUUGUCCGGAAUCAUUGGGCGUAAAGAGCGUGUAGGCGGCUCGAUAAGUCCGCUCUGAAAGCCCGGGGCUCAACCCCGGGAGGCGGGCGGAUACUGUCGGGCUAGAGUCCGGAAGAGGCGAGUGGAAUUCCUGGUGUAGCGGUGAAAUGCGCAGAUAUCAGGAGGAACACCCGUGGCGAAAGCGGCUCUCUGGGACGGUACUGACGCUGAGACGCGAAAGCGUGGGGAGCGAACAGG